rnacentral:tRNA from 1 species
GUUUUUAUAGUUUAACUUAAAACAUUGAUCUUGUAAAUCAAAAAUGAUUAAUUCUUAAAACU